AAGACUAUACUUUCAGGGAUCAUUUCUGUAGUUUGUUACUAGAGAAACCUCACUGAUUGUGUAGAGUAUUGUAAUGGCCUAUGACAGAAAAGGAAGAACUGGAGACUGCUAUGAUGGUAUGGUUGGUUUUAGUGCUGAUGAACCUUGGGACUCUGCUAUAGAUACAUGGAGCCCAUCAGAAGGGC
rnacentral:snoRNA from 1 species